CACCAGUGUCCAGACUCAGAGUCUCAUGCUCAUAGGCCAGUACUUUACCAUGGUGCCAUUUCCUCAGCCCCUUGAAAUUUAAAGUAUGUAUGAAUUGCAAAAGUCAUUAGCCCUUUACUCAGGGACUCUUCUCAAAGGUAGCAACCACCUUUGACUCUUGCUGUGUCUUCUAGCCUGUGCCUGUGUUCUUAGUAGCUUGCAUGUGCUGCUUCCUUGUAAGUUGUGUGAAUGAUAUGCAGAGUUGCUCUGUAGCUGGACAGUCUCUUAUCUCUGGACUGCUCCCAGUGUUUGACUGAGUAAAUCAGUAAUGAAUGUUCAUAUUUUAUGUCUAUACAAACAGUGCACUGAGCACAGAAGCAUACUGCACUUGAUAGUUGUUCUUGCCUUUGGGCAGUUGGGGGGUGGUUUUCUGGUUACUUGUUGCUAAUUCUUCCUAUGCCUUUUUUACUUAUAUCUCAGCACAGUUAACCUUGGGCUUCAUGUUCUCUGUCAGUUGUUUUUCCUGGGACCUACCUUCUAGAGCCUGUUGGUGUGAUAAGGAUAGGCAUUAGGGCCUUUUCCAAAGACUAAGUCCCACGUGGUCUCCAUGGGAUUGUUAUACACUGUGAAGAAGGAGAGAGGAGUGGUGGGCAGAUCCUCUGAAUGCAUGAAGCAUCAGAGACGCCUUUCCUUGUCUCUUUUAGAGGUGAUGGUAAAAAAGAUGGCAAAGUGUUGAAUAUUUUUCUGUUAACAAGCCUACAAAAUCUCUGUCAUCCGAAUACUGGACACCUCUUCUUUACUUGUCUCCUAAGACUUUAUUACUAGUGGUUUGGGUUUAAACAUUCAGGGAGAGGGGGCUCAUAUGCAAGCUGUGGGCUUCUAUCCUAGGUGGGUGAACAAACCAUAUACACAGGUAGUGAUUUGCCAGCAGUCCACUUACAUAAUAGGUGUGGGCAGAAAUUCCUAGCACUUAGCAAGUGGAGGCAGGAUGGUCAGAAAUUCAAGGUUAUCCUCAGGUAUAUAGUGUGUUCAAAGCCAGCCUGGGCUUCAUGAACCCUGUCUCAAUCAAAACAACCAACCAACCACCAACAACAAACAAAGCCAAGUAAUCCCAGCACUCAAACGGAGAGUCAGGGGCUCUCUGAGUUCAAGGCCAGCCUGGUCUACAGAGUGAGCUCCAUGACAGAAUUGCAUAGAGAGACCCCAUCUGAAAAACCCACCACUACCAACAAAACAAAGC
rnacentral:lncRNA from 1 species